rnacentral:tRNA from 1 species
GCUGGGAUAGCUCAGUUGGCAGAGCAUGAGACUCUUAAUCUCAAAAUCGUGGGUUCAAGCCCCACACUGGGCA